rnacentral:rRNA from 1 species
ACUACGGGUGGCAGCAGUAGGGAAUAUUGCUCAAUGGGGGAAACCCUGACGCAGCAACGCCGCGUGGAGGAUGAAGGUUUUCGGAUUUUAAACUCCUUUUGUUAAAGAAGAUAAUGACGGUAUCUAACGAAUAAUCACCUGCUAACUCCGUGCCAGCAGCCGCGGUAAUACGUAGGGUGCAAGCGUUACUCGGAAUCACUGGGCGUAACGCGCGCGUAGGCGGGAUAGCAAGUCAGAUGUGAAAUCCUAUUGCUUAACCAUAGAACUGCAUUUGAAACUGUUAUUCUAGAGUAUGGGAGAGGUAGGUGGAAUUCUUGGUGUAGAGGUAAAAUCCGUAGAGAUCAAGAGGAAUACUCAUUGCGAAGGCGACCUGCUAGAACAUAACUGACGCUGAUGCGCGAAAGCGUGGGGAGCAAACAGGAUUAGAUACCCCAGUAGUC